GUCCACGCUGUAAACGGUGUACACUAGAUGUGGGUGGUCCUUUUGGUCCCAUCCGUGUCCAAGCUAACGCGUUAAGUGUACCGCCUGGGGACUACGGCCGCAAGGUUAAAACUCAAAGGAAUUGACGGGGCCCGCACAAGCGGUGGAGUAUGUGGCUUAAUUCGAGGCAACGCGAAGAACCUUACCUAGGCUUGACAUAUGCCUGACGGGGUGUGAAAGCAUCCUUUCCUUCGGGACGGGCAUACAGGUGCUGCAUGGCUGUCGU
rnacentral:rRNA from 1 species